rnacentral:rRNA from 1 species
AUACGGAGGGUGCAAGCGUUACUCGGAAUCACUGGGCGUAAAGCGCGCGCAGGCGGGCUGAUAAAUUGGAUGUGAAAGCCUACGGCUCAACCGUAGAACUGCAUCCAAAACUGUCAGUCUAGAGUGUGGGAGAGGAAGAUGGAAUUAGUUGUGUAGGGGUAAAAUCCGUAGAGAUAACUAGGAAUACCAAAAGCGAAGGCAAUCUUCUGGAACACUACUGACGCUGAGGCGCGAAGGCGUGGGGAGCAAACAGGAUUAGAAACCCUAGUAGUCC